rnacentral:tRNA from 1 species
GCCUGGGUGGCUUGGUCGGUUAAGCGUCCGACUUCGGCUCAGGUCAUAAUCGCAUGGUCUGUGGGUUCGAGCCCCGCGUCGGGCU